ACAUUUGAUAUAAAUGUAUAGUAGAGCUAAUAGGAUGAUGUUUCAAUCCCUGUAGUAAGUCGGCACUCUUAAUAUUGGCAGUGGGAUUGGGGUGGUGUAAGGUAGGGUAGGUACGUCAUCCUGG